rnacentral:rRNA from 1 species
ACUCUAGACAGACUGCCUGCGCAAGCAGUGAGGAAGGCGGGGACGACGUCAGGUCAUCAUGGCCCUUACGCCUAGGGCUACACACGUGCUACAAUGGACGGUACAGCGGGUUGCCAACCAGCGAUGGUGCGCCAAUCCCGAAAAGCCGUUCUCAGUUCGGAUCGGAGUCUGCAACUCGACUCCGUGAAGCUGGAAUCACUAGUAAUCGCGUAUCAGCAAUGACGCGGUGAAUACGUUCCCGGGCCUUGUACACACCGCCCGUCAAGCCAUGGAAGUUUGGUAGACCUGAAGCCGGUGCUCGUCACAGAAGCCGGUUAGGGUAGAACAGGUAACUAGGGCUAAGUCGUAACAAGGUAGCCGUACCGGAAGGUGCGGCUGGAUCACCUCCUUUCU